rnacentral:rRNA from 1 species
GGAUUAGAUACCCUGGUAGUCCACGCCGUAAACGAUGAGAACUAGGUGUUGGGAGAUUUAAUCUUUCAGUGCCAAAGCUAACGCGUUAAGUUCUCCGCCUGAGGAGUACGGCCGCAAGGCUAAAACUCAAAGGAAUUGACGGGGGCCCGCACAAGCGGUGGAGCAUGUGGUUUAAUUCGAUGCAACGCGAAGAACCUUACCUACCCUUGACAUUCUUGGAAUCUUCUAGAGAUAGAAGAGUGCCUUCGGGAACCAAGCAACAGGUGCUGCAUGGCUGUCGUCAGCUCGUGCUG